rnacentral:rRNA from 1 species
CCCUUAGAUGUCCUGGGCCGCACGCGCGCUACACUGAUGCAUUCAACGAGCUUUACCUUGGCCGAGAGGCCUGGGCAAUCUUUUAAACCUGCAUCGUGAUAGGGAUAGAUUAUUGCAAUUAUUAAUCUUGAACGAGGAAUUCCUAGUAAACGCAAAUCAUCAAUUUGCAUUGAUUACGUCCCUGCCCUUUGUACACACCGCCCGUCGCACCCACCGAUUGAAUGGUCCGGUGAAGCCUCGGGAUUGUGGCCAGUUCACUUUAUUGGGAGUUGGCUGUGAGAACUUGUCUAAACCUUAUCAUUUAGAGGAAGGUGAAGUCGUAACA